rnacentral:tRNA from 1 species
UCCAGGGUAGCCUAGUGGACAUGGCAUCUGCCCGGUAAGUGGAACAUUGUGGGUUCGAUUCCCAUCCCUGGAC